CUAUGAACAAUUAUAAGGUUGUAAUUCAUAAAAGCAUUAACACACAGAGAUAACUGAAUAACGACAAGAUUAAAAUUGAAAUAAUAAGAACCUCAGAAGUUCACANNUAAUCAUAGCAUAGAGUUUGAAGAAAGAAUACAUGAUCAAGAUGAUAUAAAGGUGUUGAAUCUUCCUAUCGGAUGAGUCUCCAGCCCUAGCACUCUCCAAAAUCGUGUUCCUUGGUAUUUUUCUGCUCCCAAUCGACCCCUAGGUCAGUUCUGGAAGCCCCUAUUUAUAGAAAACGCGAAAUCCUGAAUUGCUGUUUGCGGCGCUGCGCGAGGCGCAGCUUUUCCUGCGCGAGGCGCAGCAACCAGAGACGACUUGCAUUUUGUUCAAUCAUUCUGCGCGAGGCGCAGCUUGCUCUGCGCAAGGCGCAGCUUGCAGUGUGAGAAUCUUCCAGUUUUCUUCAUAUAAUUGGCUUGAACAACUAUUAUCUUCAAUAUGCAUCCAAAUCUUCAACUCUUUGCAAAAUGACCUAAAACUUAACAUAAUUGGC
rnacentral:lncRNA from 1 species